UACGAAGGGGGCUAGCGUUGUUCGGAAUUACUGGGCGUAAAGCGCACGUAGGCGGAUUUUUAAGUCAGGGGUGAAAUCCCGAGGCUCAACCUCGGAACUGCCUUUGAAACUAGAUUGCUAGAAUCUUGGAGAGGCGAGUGGAAUUCCGAGUGUAGAGGUGAAAUUCGUAGAUAUUCGGAAGAACACCAGUGGCGAAGGCGACUCGCUGGACAAGUAUUGACGCUGAGGUGCGAAAGCGUGGGGAGCAAACAGG
rnacentral:rRNA from 1 species